CACCGACCUUCACUCUCCUCUCGUUCGUCAGUCCUCACUCCCUCUCGUCUCUCUCAUUUCUUCUUCUAAAACCCUACUCUUCUCUCUCUCGCAGCGAGACAGAGCCGCGAGAAUGGAGCCUCCGAGCGAUUCGCCCGACCCAUUCGCUGAAUUCCCUCCCCUCGAGUUCUACCCCUUCGAGCCCCUCCCAAACCCUAGCCCCAGCCCCGUCCCUCCCCCACCUCCCAACCCUCCGUCCCCGCAAAACCCUAAUCCCACCUUGGCCUCCGCCUCCGCCUCUGCCUCGGGCUCCGCCUACAAUCCCCUCCUCUCCUUCACCGUCCCCAAGAAGCGUAGGCGAGGCCGGUCGCAGCGGAAUGUGGCCCCCUUCCAGCUCCCUCCCUUGCCGUCUGGUAAUCCUAGUUCCGCAUCUGCAUCCGCAUCGGCCUCUUCGUCUGCUCUGGUUGCUGCUGUUUCGAGUAAGCCUGCUCUGGAAAACCCUAGCUCUGUCUCUGACGCUUCUGAUGAGAUAAUCGUGAUCAAUAGAGAGUCCACGGCUGAGGCCCUCAUUGCACUCACGGCUGGGUUCCCAGCCGACUCGCUCACUGACGAAGAGAUCGAUUUCGGUGUUGUGCCAGUGAUCGGCGGGAUCGAACAGGUUAACUAUAUUUUGAUUAGGAACCACAUUAUUGCGAAAUGGCGUGAGAAUGUGUCCAAUUGGGUUACCAAGGAGAUGUUUGUGGAUGUUAUCCCUAAACAGUGCACUUCUCUACUGGACUCUGCUUAUGAUUACUUGGUUUCUCAUGGGUAUAUUAAUUUUGGGGUCACGCCCGCAAUUAAAGACAAGAUUCCGGCAGAGCCGAGCAGGCAUAGCGUGGUUAUUGUCGGCGCUGGCCUUGCAGGAUUGGCUGCAGCACGGCAGUUGAUGCGGUUGGGUUUUAAGGUGACAGUUUUGGAGGGUAGGAAGAGAGCAGGUGGGAGGGUUUAUACAAAGAAGAUGGAAGGUGGGAACAAGCUAUCUGCUGCUGCCGAUUUAGGGGGAAGUGUAUUGACUGGGACAUUGGGGAACCCCCUCGGAAUUGUUGCUCGGCAGCUAGGGCAUCCACUUCACAAGGUGAGGGAUAAGUGCCCUAUUUACAGGGUGGAUGGGAAGCCGGUUGACUCCGACAUAGACAUGAAGGUUGAGACUGCUUUUAACCGUCUCUUGGAUAAGGCCAGCAGGCUUAGGCAGUCUAUGGGAGAGGUGUCCAUGGAUGUUUCGCUUGGAUCCGCCCUGGAAACAUUUAGGCCAGUUUAUGGGGAUGCUGUAAAUGCUGAGGAAAUGAACUUGUUCAAUUGGCAUCUUGCCAAUUUGGAAUAUGCUAAUGCAGGUUUGCUCUCAAAGCUUUCCCUUGCAUUUUGGGACCAGGAUGAUCCUUAUGAUAUGGGAGGUGAUCACUGUUUUUUGCAUGGAGGGAAUGGAAGGCUGGUUCAGGCUUUGGCUGAGAAUGUACCUAUUUUGUAUGAGAGAACUGUGCAUACUAUCAGAUAUGGCAAUGAUGGUGUGCAAGUCAUGGCAGGUAGCCAGGUUUUUGAGGGUGAUAUGGCACUUUGUACUGUUCCUCUUGGUGUUCUGAAAAGUGGGUCUAUCAAGUUUAUUCCCGAGUUGCCUCAGAGAAAGCUUGACGGGAUAAAGAGGCUGGGAUUUGGGCUGCUAAAUAAGGUUGCAAUGCUUUUUCCCCAUGUGUUUUGGGGCACAGAUCUUGACACCUUUGGACACCUAAAAGAUGAUCCAAGCCGCCGUGGGGAGUUCUUUUUGUUUUAUAGCUAUGCAACGGUUGCAGGUGGUCCUCUCUUGAUUGCAUUAGUAGCUGGGGAAGCUGCACAUAAGUUUGAGAGCAUGCCCCCUACUGAUGCGGUGACGCGGGUUCUUCAAAUUCUUAAGGGUAUUUAUGAACCUCAGGGGAUCAAGGUACCAGAUCCUAUCCAAACUGUCUGCACCAGGUGGGGUGGUGAUCCUUUUUGCUUAGGUUCCUACUCUAAUGUGGCGGUAGGGGCCUCUGGAGAUGACUAUGACAUUUUAGGUGAAAGUGUGGGAGAUGGAAGGCUCUUCUUUGCUGGGGAGGCAACUACCAGAAGGUAUCCUGCAACUAUGCAUGGGGCCUUUCUGACUGGGCUGAGAGAAGCUGCUAAUAUGGUUCAUCAUGCUAAUGCUCGUGCUUCAAAGAAAAAGAUUGACCAGACUCCAUCGAAGAAUGCCCAUUCCUGUGCUUCCAUUCUAGCUGACUUAUUCAGGGAACCUGAUUUGGAAUUUGGGAGCUUUGCUGUCAUUUAUGAGAAGAACUCUGAUCCCAGUUCUGGGGCAAUUUUGAGAGUGACUUUUAGCGAGCCUCGUAAAAAAGCUCAUGAGGGUCUGAAGUCAGACCAGCAUACCAAUAAACUACUAUUUCAACAGCUUCAGUCACAUUUUAAUCAGCAACAACAACUUCACAUUUACACCUUGUUGUCAAAGCAACAGGCUCUUGAGCUGAGAGAAGUGAGAGGAGGUGAUGAGAUGAGGUUUUAUCAUCUUUCUGAAAAGCUUGGGAUAAAGCUGAUAGGGAGGAAAGGUUUAGGACCUGCCGCUGAUUCUGUGAUUGCUUCCAUUAAAGCUGAAAGGGGCAAGCGCAAACCUGCUUCAGUUUCUUUGGCUACUAAAUCAGGUACAUUGAUGAAUAAAAGAGGUGCUCCGAAGCAAAAAGUUGUCAGAAAAGCUAAAAUAGUGGGCAAAAGUGGAGGUCUGGGAGCUCUUCCUGGUUUAAAUGCUGAAAGCAGUAAGGUGACACAUGAUGGUAGGAGCACAAAUCAAGCCACUCCUGGCCCAUCUGAGACAGGGCAAGUUCAUGACGACAUAACGAAGCAAUUAGAAGAAAGUGUACACCUUGCAGACAGGUGAACGGUGAGAUCACAGAUUUAUAUGUUCACAUUUUGAUGGCUUUGGAACUUCGCUUUCAUCAUUCAUUUCGUUCAGACUACGAUCUUCCCAGCAUAAGAGCUGAGCUUCCAGGUUCCUCUCAAGAAGUUGACAUGUAUCGAUGACCGGUUAGUUUGCGAUGUUUUGAGCAGGUUGUGCAUUGCAUCUAUGAUUCUAUAUGGCCUUGCUUUUGAUGCUGGUGUCCCUUGAGCUGUGUAAAGUUAGUUAUCGUUGGUUAAUCAUCAUGGGUCACCAACAUUUGCAUGACUAAAUAGAAGCUCCAAAUGGAUUUUGGCUAGGCUUUGUGGACUAGCAGAUGAUAGAUUGUUAAAAAACUCAUUCUGAAGCAAGAGCUGGUGAACCAGUUUCCUCCCAGCCACCUCCAUGAUAAGAGAAUGUCUUCAUGAAGGCCUGUAUUUCAUUGACGUUGUCAUAGUGGCAAUAUUUGAAUGUGGCAUCUCUUAUUGCCGCUGAUCGUUCUGACUGCUGCCAAUCAAGUGAUGGAGUGAGAUUACCCUUUACUACCUCAAGGAAGCAGGACCUAUAAUUUUCUGUUCUUUCGUUGAGGACGUCACCAUCAUGCUAUUUUUUUGGAAAACGUUUUAAGGCAGAUGAUCGAAGAAUUUUUUAUGCUUCCAAAGUAUUCAUUGGCGAAAUUCAGCUAUACAGCCUGAGGUUCAAAGAUUCCUCUAGGUGUGACAGAAAGGAGACUCCCUUUUCUUUUGUGAAAUUCCAGAUACAAACGUAAAUACAUAAGAUACUUAGUUCAAUUUAGCAGAUGCCAGUUUGGAAAUCAUCGUGGAA